rnacentral:rRNA from 1 species
CCUACGGGUGGCAGCAGUGAGGAAUAUUGGUCAAUGGGCGCGAGCCUGAACCAGCCAAGUAGCGUGCGGGAAGACGGUCCUAUGGAUUGUAAACCUCUUUUAUCGGGGAGCAACAGACGCCACGUGUGGCGCUUCGAGAGUACCCGAAGAAAAAGCAUCGGCUAACUCCGUGCCAGCAGCCGCGGUAAUACGGAGGAUGCGAGCGUUAUCCGGAUUUAUUGGGUUUAAAGGGUGCGCAGGCGGAAGAUCAAGCCGGCGGUAAAAUUGCGAGGCUCAACCGCUUCGGGCAGGGGAAACUGGUGUGCUUGAGUGAGGGAGAAGUAGGCGGAAUGCGUGGUGUAGCGGUGAAAUGCAUAGAUAUGACGCAGAACUCCGAUUGCGAAGGCAGCAUACUGGCGCUCAACUGACGCUCAUGCACGAAAGUGUGGGUAUCGAACAGGAUUAGAUACCCGUGUAGUC